rnacentral:misc_RNA from 1 species
AGUUAGCCGACUCACACUUCAUACCUUUCCUUUCAUCUCAUCUGCAACAUGUUCACUGUACAGAUGUUUGUUGGGUUCCUGAAAAUGCGUCGACGUGUUAUCAUCCACGCAAGCUUCCCCAACCCAGUCAGUAUACCAAAAGACAACAGGCACUGAGGAGGAAGCCAGCGGCUGCAUGCACCAUUGAAUAGGACGGCAUUGUAUUCCUCCCACAGGAGUGACUACAGCGAAGCAAGCCCCGAAUAAAGUGUUGAGUGACCGUGAUCUAUCAUUCAAGGAUAAUGUAUCCUUAUUGAAAUUUUAAGAAAUCACAGGUUCUGCCAGCCAUAGUUUCCAUACCUCCUGUUGACGACUCUAUGGAUAAUGAAAACUAAUAAGAUGUAAUGGAAAGGCCUCGCAGGAAUCCCCGUCCCCCUGGUGCCCUCAGUGACUACCUGACUGUGGUGGAGGCUGGAGAGAAGAGUAUUUGUGUGGAGGAAAGCAUUGAGGAGCAGCAGCUGCAACAGCAGCAGAAACAGCAGCAAGAGGAUGAGGAACAAGAGGUGGAGGUAGAAGCCAAAGACACCAACCAAACAGAAGUGGACAGAAAGCUCCUUCUGUCUCAGCCAUACAAAUGCAAGGAGUGCAAAGCUCGUUACCGCAGCAGAGUUGCUCUGCUUCGUCAUGCUGUCAAGCAUAGUGGAGAGAAGCCAUUUGUGUGUUGUGAGUGUGGGCGUGGCCUCUCCAGCCAGUGUGCCCUCACUGAACACAUGAACAUCCACACCAAUAACAGGCCUCACAGGUGUGAGGAGUGUGGCCUAGAGAGCCGGCAGCUGAGUGUUCACCUGCGACACUUGCUGACUCAUCAGGCCCAGCCACAGCACAAGUGUUCAGUCUGCUCCAGGUCAUUCAAGCAAAAUGAGUACUUAAAGAAGCACAUGCGCAAACACACAGGGGAAAAGCCAUUUGUGUGUGAAUUGUGCAGUAAAUCAUUCACAUGCAAGAGUGAGCUGAACCGCCACAGCAAGCGCCACUCCUCUGAGAGACCCCACUCCUGUGCUGACUGUGGCAAAAGUUUCAAGAUGAGGCACAACUUACACAAGCACCUGAGGGCGCAUGCUGGGACACAGCAGUGGAAGUGCCUCUUGUGUUCAGCAGUCUUCUCCAAACUUAAGCUGCUGGAGGAACACAAGAGAUCUCAUCUAGAAACAGUACAGCAGCUGCAGAUCAGCAGGCCAGAUGAUGGUGUGCUGGUCAUCUCGGCUGAAGGGGAUGAUCGCCGCAGGCUGCCAACCGUCCACACCAUCAUAGUUCCCAAAGAAAGUCUCACUACUGAGAAUAGUGAUGUCAACUCAAAAAAGCACCUGAGGAUAAAUGGCACAAGCUUGCCACUUGAACUAAUCCUCAAAUCUGUUGCAAAAGGAGGGAAUAUUAAGAUCAAGAUUAUAGACAAACCAGCACAUCCCAAGAUACAGUCCUGUGCUACCACUGAGAAUAUUGUUGAACUUGUGGAUGAAGAUGUCAACAAGCCUGGAGGACUCAGCCUCUCCAAGGAUUCCACUCACCACCUGCAAGAGACCAGUUCACCACAAGAUAGUGCUAUGCAGAGUGUGAAUCAAGAAGCUGUGAAGGUUGCAAGUGUGCUGAGUGUGCCAGCCAGCAUACAGAGCCAUUGCCUUUCCAAACACUACCACCAGGUCAAUCCAUCAUGUUCAGACUACUGCUGCUGGCUGGCCACCUUUGUCUCAUUUUGCCAGCAACUCUGUCCACCCUUUGAUCCAGAGAUUUGCAAACACCUAAGCUUCAUGACAACAGCAUUGCAAAAUUGCCUCCUGCAACAGCCUGGCAGUUCAGAGAUAUCCCGGAUGGGGGAGCUUGGGAGUGCACUGGCCUGCCACACACAUACUCAAUACCAGUUCAUCUAUAAGCAGUACAGGGCAAUGCAGGAGGUGCUCACCACGCACUUUGCUCACUACGUCACUGAUGCUAAUUAGUAGAACUGGAUUCUUGCACUACAUUUUUCUUGGUCAUCCCAUGUCUGAAUAUUGACCUGGAGUGAAAAAAAGAAUAACUCAAGAGGCAGUAAGAAGGGAGCAGCCUGACACCACAUGUCCAAUAUUUAUCACCUCUCCAUCCUGACCAAGAUGGGUGCACAGACACAGCCAGCAUCACAGGAGAUGCAGGGCAUGCCCUAACAUAUGACUGCAGCUUCUACAGAAUAAUGAAGUUCUAGGAAUUCAGCUUCAGUCACAGAAUAAAGAAGAGAGUAAAGAAAUGGCGAUAACAGCAGUAAAUAAAAAGGAAAAUUAGAUGAAAAAGGGAAAAGAAAUCAAAAUAAAGGAGAGAAUGAAUGAAAAGACUUGAAAUGGAGAAGAAAAAGGCUACAAGAACACCAACAAUCAGCUGCCACCAUAGUUACACAGCCUCACCUUCAGGUUUGGUGGCCUUGGCCUCAUCAGCCACUGCGGCAACACUGCUCUCCUGCUGCUGUGGCUGCGGCUCCUGGAUGCUCUUCUGUGAUGGUUUGUUUAUCCGAGUGAAGAAGGAGUCAAUGCGCUUCUGAGUGUGGUCAUCCUGGGGUAAGAAUACAAGAGACAUCAGCAUAAAUCGUCAUUUGUUUAAAAUAUUCUCAAUUUUUCCUAAAGUUUAAUGGAGAUUUAUAAAAGUCUUCAAGCCAUGGAACCCCAAGCAAACUGGGGAGAAUAUGAAUCUCUCUAGCUUGCAAUGUUGUAUAGGGACAAGCUCAUAUACUGAGGAAAACUUGAAGAAUGUUGAUGCACCUAAUCAAAAGAAACAUAUAUUUAAGAACGUAGCUGACAGCCCAAAAUAAGCAGGUGGUGCAAGGCAAAGGUUUGUAUUAUGUUUAGGAAAACUGAUCAUGCAGCACAUGUUACACCAUCUUUGUCCAUCUAAUCAAUCUCAUGAAAAUGUACAAAAAUACCAGUGGAAAUUAAAUUUUAGUUCAUUUUACACUUGCAAAUUAUGGUAUCUUAUUAUUGGUAAUACAUUCAAAUGUGUUUUACUCAUUAUAAUGGUAUGUAAAUCAUUUGAGUUGUCUGGUGUUCACUGACCCAAACUUUAUCAUAGAUGGUUUGGUAGUUUGGGCAUAGUGUUAUACCACCAAUAUCAGCUAAAACCAUUUAUAUUUAACUAAAAUUUGAGGCUUGUAUUACAUGAAAGUUGUCUUUAUCCACCAAAAUACAUGGUACUAUUCUGUAGAUCCUGAACCAUGACCUACCUUAGGAGUGUUCUUGCUAGUCUUGCGUUGGUGGAGGCUGCGUGGGGAGGGUGUGGUCAUGGGAGAGAGAGCUAUGCCACCCACUCUACCAGGCCCGGAGGAGAGGCUAGUGGUGUGGGCCAGGUGCGAGGCAGCCAGCUGAGAGGCCAGGGCAGGUGGGGUACUUGGUCGGCUUGGCUCACCAGGUUCAGCCUCGUCAUCAAUCACCGAACUGUCAUCAAUGUCUGAAGGGCACAGAUUAUGAUUAGUUGUACAUAGAACAAUGGGACUGUAUCGACAAUAAGGAGCUGUCACCAACCUGAUGUUAAUGUUUGUGAGUGGCAAAGACUAUUAAUAGUGUGAGAAGCUUAUAAAAUCUGUUUAUCACCA